GGCUGUCGUCAGCUCGUGUCGUGAGAUGUUGGGUUAAGUCCCGCAACGAGCGCAACCCACGUCUUUAGUUGCCAGCAUUAAGUUGGGCACUCUAGAGAGACCGCCGGUGAUAAACCGGAGGAAGGUGUGGAUGACGUCAAGUCAUCAUGCCCCUUACAUCCUGGGCUACACACGUACUACAAUGCUACGGACAAAGGGCAGCAAACUCGCGAGAGCUAGCAAAUCCCAUAAACCGUGGCUCAGUUCAGAUCGUAGGCUGCAACUCGCCUACGUGAAGGAGGAAUCGCUAGUAAUCGCGGGUCAGCAUACUGCGGUGAAUACGUUCCCGGGCCUUGUACACACCGCCCGUCACACCAUGGAAGUUGGCCACGCCCGAAGUCGUUACUCCAACCCUUGUGGAGGAGGAUGCCGAAGGUGGGGCUGAUGACUGGGGUGAAGUCGUAACAAGGUAGCCGUACCGGAAGGUGCGGCUGGAUCACCUCCUAA
rnacentral:rRNA from 1 species